AUGAGAUCCACUGCAAUUACAAUUGCAACUGCAGCUGCUGCAGUGUGUGUGUGUGUGUGUUUUCAGUGGGAUCUCACACGCUCUGUAUUGUCUUUUUCUUCAGGUUGUGUCAUAUCCCGCGUUUGUAUGUUGGCUUCUUCAUAUAUUCUCUCACUGUUCUACUGUCUCCCCCCGUCCUCCUCCUCCUCCUCGCUGUGUGUGUGUGUGUUUGCGUGCGUGUGUUGUGUUUGUUGUGAUGUGACGUCGCUUACUGUGUUUUCAAUGUGUUUCCCUCACACCACCGCUGACCUUUAACCCUUGCACAAGGGAGGAUGCGCACACGUGUGCGACACCUAAAACUGCACGCACAUAGAAAACAGACUCAAAGGUUGUUUAGGUGUUUGUUGUGCCGUGUUGAGUCACCCCAGGGUUAAAGGUCAGGGGUCGAUAGAGGUCAAGGUGAAUUCAAAUGAGCGUGAGUUCAUGGUUCUGUGCCAUGCUGCGAACACCGCAUUCUCUCCAAAAAAAUACUUAGGACCAAAUUGAAGAUUUAUGUAUUUGAAUUGCAUAAAAUCCAGUCUGAUUACACAGUUUGAACGUAAACAAUCUAAUAACGUUAUUGUGAUGCAUUUCUGCAAUCAAAAAAAUCAUUUUGCACCUGUUUGAUUCAAGGUUAUUAACCGUUAACUAAAACAGAAAUUAAAACUAUUAAAAAAGGUGCGACUUGAAAUAAAGUUUAACUGAAAUAAAAUAUAAAAGACAUUAUAUUUCAGCUAGUUGUUAAGACAGCAUUGCUCAUUUUAUUUAGUUUAGUCUGUGUGUGUGUGUGUGUGUGGGUGUAAAUUUGUAUUUAAUAAUUUCAGUUUGACUGUAAGUACUAAAAUAUCUCAAAUAAAAUAAACUAAAAUGAAUAAACAAAAUUAAUUAAAAAAACUAAAUUACUACUACUUAAAACUUAAACAAAUAGAAAAAUAAAAUCUAAUUAAAAAUAUUAACAAAUACUAUAAUACUAUAUCAAUGAUAAUAAAACAGCACUGUUUUGGUUUUAUUUAAACAAUAAUGCUUUUAUUAAAAUUUCUUAACAUUAAUUCAUUGUAAAAAAAUGUAUUUAUUCUUUUAAAACAUAUGAACAUGGUUAUGGCUAGCUGUAGAUGUAUGAGAUAAAAAAAAAACUUUGAAUGUAUUGAUAAUAAAUAUUUAAACCUGGUUAUUGUACAUUUAAAACAUAUUCAGUUUAUUAGUACUUUUUACAGAAAUCCUACCAGUUUCAUGAACAUAUGACUGACAGAUAUGCAUCACAUUAAGUUUAUUAGUUUGUUUGUUGAAACUGGAUGGAAAUUUUAUAUUGCAGUUCAAAUACACAAACCUUAAAUGUAGGUCUAAAUAUUUUGUGUUUUUUGCCGCAAAUUGUGACACUCUGAAGCUUCUAGAAAGCGACAGGGAGCUCGGGAUAAACCAGAGGCAGAUGGAGAAAAGAGUGUUUAUGUGUGGCACAGUCCUAUGAAUCUGCUCAUACGACCUCAACCUGCUUCAGUUCCUAGUGUAGCUGGAAACUCCUACAUGUGUGCGAAGGUCUGUGUGUGUGUGUGUGCUGUGUAACUGACGUCUGACUGACUGGUUGACAGACAGACACUGGGAUAUUUGGACAGACUCACAGACAGACUGACGUUGAGAAGGUAAGAACAAACUGUGGUAAAAGCCUGGGCUUCAGCAAGGCAUCGUCUCCUGGUACGGCAGUCGCUCUCAGUCACUUUAACAUCCAGAGCACCUUUAGACACAGAAAUAAGAUUAUAACAAACAUCCAGUGUCUGUUGAGGAUACGUGUAUGUGUGAGUUCUGCUGUACAAACAUCUACUAUUUACUGUAGUAUAGACCAUAUUAAAACACAUACAUUAAUUUCAUCGUUUCACAUUUUUACCUGACAUUAGAAAUUAAAACGAAACAGAUAAUAUUCUGAUUGUAAAGUAAUUUAUUGAGGAAAUAAAUAUCCUUAAAUUUUUUUAUUAUUUCUUAUGAUAUUUUUUUUUAUUAUUAUUCAUAUAUUUAUUAAAAAAAACUUUUUUUUAUUUUAGCUUUAAUUUUUAUUUUUAGUUUGUAUUUUAAUUGUUGUUUUAGUAAUUUUGGUACGUUAUU
rnacentral:lncRNA from 1 species